ensembl:lncRNA
AAUUAAUAAUUUGCCAGUGACAACGUCACCUUCAGUAAACUUACUGUUGUCAUUAAUUUAUUUAUUUGUUUAUGUGUUUAUUUAUUUAUUUAGUGUGUGUGUAAACGGACUGUGCUGAUGGAUAUAGUAAUAUAAUACAUUAAAUUAUUACAUGCCAUCUUUAAUGAAAUGUAUUUUAUUUAGGUGAAAUCUAACUGCAUAUCUGGAUUGGUUUAAGUUAAACCCCACUAAAUACCCGCGUCUCAUAAAGCAACCACACUAAUCUAAGCGGAGACGAAUCUAAUCGAUUCGUGAGCGGCCGAAUGGUCACGAAUGUAUCCGAAAAUGCGCACGAGCAACCUGUAAGCCAGCCAGGGAGUGAGACAGCAUGAUUGAAGGGACUGUAGGCAGGCAGACCAGCAGAGAGUCUCCGACCGCUCUGGAGCAGAAGUCCGUGAGACACAAACUCUGGAUUCACAACAAGAGAAGCUUUUCCAAUCUACCGUAGUUAUAGCAACCAGUCUCAAUAACGGGAUUAUAACGGCCGCGUGGCACAUUAGUAGAGGAAGAGUCGUUACUCUGUGGAAUCAAAGAAUUUUCCAGUUGAUUUUAAAAGUGGAUUUGUACGUGGCCAACUGAACCGGGUGAAACGAGCGGUUGCCUUGCACGGAAAGAAAUGCAAACCGCGGCGGAACGGAGAGACGAUCGUUGUGUGAGGUCCGCGUGGUGUAUGUCUACUCGUUGUUCGGCGUUCCUGCCUCUUGCUCUGUUUCCUGUUCGGUCGUCACUGGAUUACAACCUUGUUUACGGAUAUCUCGCCUUCACCCACUCCACCAACGCACUCAAGGGGAGUGUUUGUUCCUCACCAUCUCCACCAACGCACUCAAGGGAAUCGUCGGGUCUUCACCAGUUCUAUCAGCGCACUCAAGGGAAUCUACUCACCUGUCUGUGCUGCCAUCAAAGUCCCUGCGUCAUUCUCCAGGAGCCUGUCAUCAUCUCAUAGUGUCAAUAAACAUCAUUAUUACUCGCAGUUGCCUCCUGUCCUUUAUCACGCCGUGACAACGAUAUGAUACACGAAUGAAUAAGCACAGCGCGAUUGCCAAUCAAACAGCCGCGUUGCCAUCUCUGCGUAUCUCCAUCUCUCAAAAACCAAACCAGCUCUCUGUCUAGAGUAUAGGCUAAUAAUCAACUUAAAUACAGAUACAUUUUCUACUAGGUCUACAUGUUUGCUUCCUUAACUUUUGCUGGUUUGCGUAGCAAAUGCACAUUUGUUUAGUGAAGUUAAAAAAAGACUCGUUUAAAUAGUUAUUUACAGCAUAAUGAAAUGUUAGCCUUGGAAAUUAUUAAUUUUAUAUUUAAGAACAAUGAAUAGGGAAAAAAAGAAAAGAAAAAAAAGGGAAAUAUUUUUCCAUACUCUGUUCUCUUUUUUUUCCCCAUAGGUUUUUCAGACCAGCGAAUUAAGUGAAAUACUUUUUUAAAUGCAGGAACCGGUGAGCCAAAGGAAUUCAUGUUGUUUAACAUAAUCCUCUAAAAUUACAACGCAGUAACAAGUGUGUGAAGUAGCUAAAUGAGUUUAUAAAUGAAAUAAGCGCAAAUAAAAUAGCAGUGUUGCAGUUGCCUUUUUCUAUGCAUUUGCUGGAAAUGACUUAAAUCAUUUUCCAUAUUUCUAAAUUGCGUAGGAACCCUUACUGUUUUAAUUUAGAUACUUAAAUAUCUAUUUAUUGGAUCAUGAAAGGUACCCAAGCUGGGACUCAAACUCACGUUGCUCGAAGCACAACCGCACUACAUCUCGAAGCACCGCCUAUAAAAGGAAAUCUGCUCCGACUGUUAGAAGAUGUUUAAAGAGCAGGUCAUAUGGUAUUUUAAAGUGUCCCAAUAUUGUAUUGGAAUCCCCUACAUCAGGUUUAAAUGCAUCUAAGGUCAGAAAACAUUGUAAUUUUCUCAGAAUAUACAUUUAAUAUUAGAGUCAUUUGCCAAUGAUUAGGAAAUGAUUCGUUUCAAGCAAGUUCGGAGCAAGCCCCUCCCUUCCUCAACCCUACUCUGCUCUGAUUGGUCAGCUGGCCAAACCUGUUGUGAUUGGCACAGAGAUGAGUCCUUGAGCCAGUUAGCCAGCGCUACCAUUGACAAAGCACCUUUACAUAAAACAAUAAUAUAGUCAAUCCGUUCUUAUAAUGACAUAAAAUACAAAAACACUUAUGCAAGCGAAUCGUGCCCACAGCUAAAGUUUAGCUGCUAAACUGUGAACACUAGGUGGAUACGUUAGCCGAGUGCUAACGUGACUAACUGAUUAAACAAUACAGUUUGUAAACCAAAAUAUGUCUACUGUAAUGUUUGAAGAACGACAGACAAAAGACGCUUGGUCUUAACUUUUAAUCAGAACGCAGAACAGUUGUAUCACAGGAGCACCAGCCGAAAUCACUCAUCUCUCCCGCAUUAACCCUGUAACUGCCAGUGCAGCACAAUAAACAGCAGUUUCACAAUUAUUAUAAAGUCUGUGUGCUACACUACAUUCUUUAUUAUUAAGCAAAGUAAUUAGAACAACGUCAGUCUACAAUAAUCGACAUAUUCUUAGGUUCACUGCGAAUUUUUAGAACUACUUCAGUAAGACAGUAAUAUCGUGCUUUACCUGGAAACCUAAAGCUGCACUAGGUAUACAUCACAUAUUGGCACAAAAAAAUGAUAUUUUGAGCACUCAAUUGAAAAUGUACACCUAACGUAUCAAUCGUACUACUUACAGGUCGUGGUUCAGAGAGCUUGUUAGUCCAAAUUAAGAAGAUUAGAAGCCAACGAAGAUAAAAGCCCAGAUUAGAGAAGCAGUUCUUGAUAAAAUGACAAGCACACAACAAAAGGCUCGAAUUGUAUUUCUGUGGUAUCCUUGAACACCGCGUCUUCUCAACAUUAUGUAAACGCACUAAUAGCAAAAGUGUUUGUGGGCAGAUCAGACUCUGUUCGUAUUUCGCGGGCAGGCGGGGAUUAUGCAAAUGUGUUACCCAGUGACGUAUACCGGUAACAGACAAAAGAUUUGAAAAUGUAACGACUCGUAAAGGCGACUCUGAGUCGACUCUCUCUUUUGAGAGACAAUAUCUUUAUUUAUCAUGCACUUUUUUGAUUAACAACUUUGCAGAUUGUUUUCAUUUAAGGAUAGCUACGUUAUAAACUGCAAAAGAGAGAUUUUUCAAAAACCCAUAUGACCUGCUCUUUAAAUGUUAUAAUCAUAAAAAAAUAUAUUAUUUUAGUUAAAAACUGCAUAUUUGUUCAGUUCUGGUUCAAGCUCCGCCUGCUUCCGGUAUUAUCCAAAUACAGAUAUAGAUACGAAUUAUUUUGUGAUU